ACAGAAGGAUGGAGACCUCCUCACUGCAAGUGAAAUGCCCAAGUCUCGCUCCUUCCCCUUUCUCGCCCAACCAAGCCCUUGACUACUACUACAACCCCUCGAUGAGGUCUUUGAUACACAGAUACCCUCUCGUGAUGCUGAGCACUGGCAGUGAGCCUUAUAUCCCAGUCAGCCACACCAUCAUGAGCGCCAGCAAUCAACGCACUCACAACCCUCUGUAACCAUAUGCAUGUUCUGAGUUGUUUCUUUUUUACUUUUAGUACAGUG
rnacentral:lncRNA from 1 species